rnacentral:lncRNA from 10 species
CUUGAACCUGGGAGGCAGAGAUUGCAGUGAGCCAAUCGCACCACUGCACUCUAGGCUGGGCAACAGAGUGAGACUUUGUCUCAAAAAAGAAAAGAAAAAGACAUGUAACCCUAAGUUAUUUUAUAAAUCUGUUUCCUCAUGUAUGAAAAGGUACUGAAGAAAAAUCAGAAACCAUCACAAAAAGUGUGGGUCAAACAAAACAUUUCUAUAGGCUUUAUCUUUUUUUUUUUCUGAGUUAAGUUCUCCCUUUGCCACCCAGGCUGAAGUGCAGUGGUGUGAUCAAGAUUCACUGCAACCUUGACCUCCUGAGUUCAAGCGAUCCUCUCACCUCAGCCUCCUGAGUAGCUGGGACUACAAAAAUGCACUACCACACCUGGCUAAUUUUUGUAUUUUUUGUAGAGACAGGGUUUCACCACUUUGCCCAGGCUGGUCUCAAACUCCUGAGCUCAAGUGAUCCGCCCACCUUGGCCUCCCAGAGUGCUGGGACUACAGUUGUGAGCCAUGGUACCAAGCCUACCCCAGGUUUCAAACCAAAUGUAUACAACUGCAUAUGUGGAUUUUUCUGGAGAAGUGUCCAAGACUAAGAACCACUGACUAGCCCAAAUUUGUCUACUUCUACCAUUUCAGCAGCCGUCUGUGAGGAUGAGUCCCACAUUUACAUCCAGUCCACCUAUGAGAUCGCCUUACCUCCUUAACAUGCCUCUGCCACUGCUACCUCCUCUCAAUUGCCAUUGCCACCACCUUAGUUCAAACCCUCUUCAAAUCUCUUGUCAGGAGCUGCCUCACUGGUCUAAUUACAGUCUUGUCCUCCUUUUUCCUACUCUGUAUAACUCAAAUCCUCUAAAUCUCAAGUAAUUUAUGUGGCCAAAGACUUUCAGGGUCUGCUUGUCACGUAAAAGAAAUCCAAACUCCUUCCCCUAACACAGAAACUCCUUAGGACCUGGCCAGACUGACCUUUCCCUCUCACUAUUUAUUCCCCUCCUCCUCCAACUCCUGGGAGGUAACAGAACCACAAUUUGCAACACAGGAUACUCUUUUGUCCCUAAACUUUGAUUCCUACUUACAGGUCACACCUUAUGGAAUGCCGAACUCCUCCCAUUCGCUUAGGACAGAAACUUCCCCUGCAAAGCCCUCACUUUAAAACCUAGCCUGCCCUUUAGGCCAGAAUAGAAGAAUAUUCCUCCAGGCUAAGCUAUUACUUAACAUUCACAUUGGCAUUGUAAAUGUCAGCUUAUUUUUCUUCUCCAAUAGACUAAAAACUCCUCAAGGGCAGAGAACGUGUCUCUAUUGCAAAGCUCAGAGCUACAACAGAGAAGCUAAUCUGUUAAAUGAAUGAACCAGCAGCUGCUCCUACCAAUCAAGUCAGGUAAACAUGCCCAGGACUCUAAAGUGAGCCUAUCAAUUCUACAAACUGCUCAGUGCCUUCAAAACCAUGCAACACUACCGUCCACGGGGACUCACAAAAACACUUCAAAACCUG